AUGUCAAGACCAGGUAAGGUUCUUCGCGUUGCAUCGAAUUAAACCACAUGCUCCACCGCUUGUGCGGGCCCCCGUCAAUUCAUUUGAGUUUUAACCUUGCGGCCGUACUCCCCAGGCGGUCUACUUAUUGCGUUAGCUGCGUCACUAAGUCCUCAAGGGACCCAACGACUAGUAGACAUCGUUUACGGCGUGGACUACCAGGGUAUCUAAUCCUGUUUGCUACCCACGCUUUCGAGCCUCAGUGUCAGUAUUAUGCCAGAAGGCUGCCUUCGCCAUCGGUAUUCCUCCAGAUCUCUACGCAUUUCACCGCUACACCUGGAAUUCUACCUUCCUCUCACAUACUCUAGCUCAACAGUAUCAGAUGCAGUUCCCAGGUUGAGCCCGGGGAUUUCACAUCUGACUUAUCGAGCCACCUACGCUCCCUUUACGCCCAGUAAUUCCGAUUAACGCUUGCACCCUCUGUAUUACCGCGGCUGCUGGCACAGAGUUAGC
rnacentral:rRNA from 1 species